GGGUGCGAUCAUGCCAGCGUUAAUGCACCGGAUCCCAUCAUAACUCCGCAAUUAAGCGCGCUUGGGCUAGAGUAGUACUGGGAUGGGUGACCUCCCGGGAAGUCCUAGUGUUGCACCCU
rnacentral:rRNA from 1 species